rnacentral:lncRNA from 1 species
AUGGAUGAGGAUUUCAAUGUUGAAUAUUUUAAUCAAGUACCGAUUGUUUUACAAAUAGCUGUUGAUCAAUUAAGUGAUGAGGAUUUCAAUGUUGAAUAUUUUAAUCAAGUACCGAAUGCUUUACAAAUAGCUGUUGAUCAAUUAAGUGAAAUUCCAAUCUCCAUUCCAAUAAAUUUACAUUUUACAGAGCAAAAUGAAAACGUCCUAGAACUUGACACCUUACAACUCAUAAAUGAUGCCCUCGAAAACCUUAAUGCAGUUAAUGCAGUAGAGUUUGAAAAUCAUUCUCCUUCAUCAGCUCUCCACACGCAAAGUGAUCAUGUCUUACACGCGGUAACAAUCAGAUCAGAGACGGAUUCAUCCGAGACACAAUCGGCUCUUCCUAACCCCCCUCCUGAACAGGAUGAGAGGCCAGGAGAAGGGGGGUCAGCGAGCAGCCCCUCAGCCCAUCUUUCUCCUCAGCAAGGGGGAGGAGGGCUAGGAGAAAAUCCAUCCGAUCUCUCUCCUGAGCGGGGUGAGAGGUUUUUUAAUGAUUUUAUCACAUGGAGAACAAGACGCUCCUUUAACAUUCCCACUCGGGGAAAUGUGCCUGACAUUGCAACAUUCUAUCGAGAUGUAACAGGGGUUAUCAGCGAAUUGGUGGAUGUUGCCAGACGACAUAGUAGUCGCAAUGAUUUCAUACAGUUGGAGGUGGUGGGUGAAAACGUACACAAUCAUGUUACAGUUGCUGUGGAUGAACAAGGUGAAAAUAUUCUACCGGCUUUUAAUGGAAUGCUAGAUCGGAUUGUGCAGUCAAACGGUAUCAUUUCAUCGGAUGAGAAUAUAGAAUUCAUCCUUCACGUGGUGCAGAACCCAGGAGGAGGUGCCAAACGUAAGAUGGAGAAAACUCUAGACUGUGAAAUCAUUGACAAAAAAAAGACGUCACUUAUUUAUCGUAGACAACAGAGACAACCAGCUUUGCUUCGCCAUCAGUCUAGCUCACGUUAUCUACCCGAAACUUACUGA